UUACAUGUCUAUACACAAAAGUGUAAACAUUCGUUUGGUAAAUGAGAUGAAUAAUUGGCAAAAAUAAGCGAGAAAUAACAUUUUUUACAGACUACUCAAAGCAAAUAAAAAUAGUGUCUUUCUCAACAGAGUAGCCAGCCUUCGCUAUGUACCUAGAAGCGAUUUAGAAAAAUAAGGAUGAAUUUUA
rnacentral:sRNA from 1 species